rnacentral:ncRNA from 2 species
AGCUCGGCGCCUGCGUCAGGUUCCCCGCAAGGGGAGAAUAGGGAACGGGGUCCGAAGCCCCGGCUGCCCUCGCAACUGUAGGCGGCGAGCCCGCGCGUCGAACGCCACUGGGAUCCUCAGGGAGUCUGGGAAGGCGACGCGCACCGGCCUUGACCCGUGAGCCAGGAGACCUGCCCGACGCAGUCGUCCUUC